GCAUGACAUGGCGGCGGGGCGGGGCCGCGGCCGGGAGUCGGGAGCUGGCGGGCAACGGGCGCCUCCGACCGGCCUGGGCGGUCAAUGGGGGCGCCGGCGCUGGCCCUCGCUGGGCUCUGCUGGCUGCUGCGGGCGGCCGCGGGCACGCAGUCCGGGCAUGAGGGCGGCAGCCGGGAGAGAGAGGCGACGGCGCUGGCGCUGCGGGAAACUGCUAAAAGAAUUAAACUAAUGAAUUUAUCAUCAAAUGAUAAUGUGUCUGCUUUCUAUGGAAUAAAUCAGUUUUCUCACCUGUUUCCUGAAGAGUUCAAAGCUAUUUACUUAAGAAGCAUACCUCACAAACUUCCCAGAUACAUGAAAGUGACAAAGGGGAAGGAAAAACCUUUGCCAAAGAAGUUUGACUGGAGGGACAAGAAAGUCAUUGCAGAAGUGAGAAAUCAGCAAACAUGUGGAGGCUGCUGGGCGUUCAGUGUUGUGGGUGGUAUAGAGUCUGCCUAUGCAAUUAAAGGAAAUAAUCUGGAAGAACUCAGUGUACAGCAGGUUAUUGACUGUUCAUACAAUAAUUAUGGCUGCAGCGGUGGAUCCACCGUUAGUGCUUUGAGCUGGCUGAACCAGACAAAAGUAAAGCUUGUGAGAGAUUCAGAAUACAGUUAUAAAGCUCAGACAGGAUUGUGCCACUAUUUUCAUCGCUCAGAUUUUGGAGUUUCAAUAAAGGGAUUUGCUGCAUAUGACUUCAGUGGCCAGGAAGAGGAAAUGAUGCGGAUGCUUGUGAACAGGGGCCCCUUGGCAGUAACUGUAGAUGCAGUGAGCUGGCAGGAUUAUCUUGGUGGAAUCAUACAGUAUCACUGCUCCAGUGGAAAAGCAAAUCAUGCUGUUCUUGUCACUGGUUUUGACAGAACAGGUAGCAUCCCUUACUGGAUUGUACAGAACUCUUGGGGGCGUACAUGGGGAAUAGAUGGCUAUGUUCGUGUGAAGAUGGGCAGCAACAUCUGUGUUUACCACUAGCAACUUGAAUGUGAUGGUGCAUCUGAUUAAAAAGGAAGACUAUUUUAAGGUUUAGAUUCAGCACCCAUAUUGCGCUAAUGCUGAAUCCUUGAGACCUAAAGUUUUGAACAUGAAAGCAGAGAAGAAAGGUAUAGCGGAUACAGUUUCAUCAGUGUUUGUUUGACGUUUAUUGGCUAAAAACCACAAUUAUUAUUUGGGUAAUAGUUUGACGUAUACUGCAAGUGAAGACUUUACUUCAAAGCAACAUUUCCUAAAUUAAGAAACUACUAUACAGGGAAUUUCCUCUUUUGGGCAGAUACAGCGUGGCCAGGAGUUUUUAAAAAUAUUCUUAUUUGGAAUGUGUGUUGCAUAUCAAAUCUUCCUUGGAAUGAGAGAGCUGAGUGUUGACUGCAGAGUGAGGAAAAAAGGAAGUCACAAAAGUGGACCGAAACUGUGAAUUUGAACUCUAUCCAGACGGUGUCAGAUACUAAAAAAUCCACUCCAUCGGAAGUCUUCUGACAAGGAAUGUAGUGAUGACAGAUGAUAAGGAAUUUGAAUCAAGAAGUCAGCAGUAUGACAGAAUAUAACUGAAAUGCUUUGAAUGUGAGAAGAACUGUGAUUAAGUCUGCUUUUAUUUCAGGGAGGAGAAAGGUUUAGAAGAAAAUAUUCUGUUAUGCUUUAUCUGUUUUGGCUUUUCUGGCACCUCUGAUAGACACAUGCAUUUUGUCGUGCUCCUUUUUGUAGAAUCCUACUUCUUUUCUAAAGCUAGAGGAAUAGAGGAGGGAGAUGUAGAGUCGUAAAGUUGUUUCCAAGACAAACCAGUAUCUGUAUUGCUGCUGUCCUUCCAUUUCAGUCUUUGACCUUUCUUGGGUAAAUAUAACUUGUAUGUUCUUCAGAGCAGGGAAUAUGUUUUGGAAAGUGCCUGGAGUAUCUGAGUUUUCUAAACUAGUUUGUUAGAUGCAUAGAAAAGCAAGAGGUAAUUGUUAAGUAAACUGUACUUAGACAAACGGAAGCAGUUCUACUAGUGGCUUGACAUGAAGGUAUAUCAUGUGUCCUAACAGGACAUAUGUGUUUGCAAAUCAGCUGUUCUGUGCUUUGAGAGCUAUGUCAGUCCAAUGCUUUAUCUCUUCUCUACUUCGUUGCUAACAUUGAAGACAAUUGUAAAGUGCAAAUUAAGAAAAUUAUUUAUUAUAGAAAAGGUUUUGGCAGGGCAAGGGGGACUGUUAAUAUGUUUGCCACCUGUAAAAAGGCAGCAGUCAUAGAAUACUCCACAUGGAGUGGAUGCUGAACUUCCCUGCAAAAUUGUGUUCUUGAACCUGUACUGAUGGAAGGAACUUCUUGUAGAAACAAAGUGGUUUCAGCUGUGCUGAUCUGUAAAAAUGCAGUUGCAGGCAAAUAUAAAUAGAAUUCAGAUCUAAACAUGAAAUCCCAAAAUGCUCAAAAUUUUUCAGCUAGAAUGCCUUCCAGUCCACCUAUAUCCUUUCUGAAGCACUAUUAGGAAAAGUAUUGAAGCAAUUUUGUAAUUUUUGCACUCACUUUUGGUACCAUGUUAAUGGUUCUGUGUAUAAUAAUCUUAUGACAAAUGCAAUUAAUAUUCAUAAUUCUUCAUUGUAAGUGUUGUCAUUUUAGUCCUUUCAUUACUACUUAAUAUUUUAAAUGAAAGAAUGAUGGAUCGCUAUGUAUUCCUGCUUAAAGUAGUUUGGCUACUGACUGACUUUUACUGGCUGAAAACUUCACAUGAGCAAAAUGAGAAGUAUAUGUACAUACUCCCCUCAGCCCUGGUGAGGCCUCCUCUCGAGUACUGUGUCCAGUUCUGGGCUCCCAAGUCCAAGAGAGACAUGGAGCUACUGGAGAGAGUCCAGCAUAGGGUUACAAAGAUGAUCAGAGGGCUGGAGCACCUGCCCUAUGAGGAACGGCUGCGAGAGCUGGGCCUCUUCAGCCUGGGGAAGAGAAGACUGAGGGGGGAUCUUAUCAGUGUGUACAAGUACCUGAAGGGAGGGUGUCAAGGGGACGGGGACAAACUCUUUUCAGUUGUCCUGUGUGACAGGACAAGAGGCAAUGGGCAGAAACUGAAGCACAGGAACUUCCACCUGACCGUGAGGGGGAAUUUCUCCCCUGUGAGAGUGACGGAGCACUGGACCAGGUUGCCCAGAGUAACCUGGUGGAGUCUCCUUCUCUGGAGAUGUUCAAGGCCCGCCUGGCUGCAACCCUGUCUUACACGCUCCAGGUGACCCUGCUUGAGCAGGGAGGUUGGACUAGAUGAUCUCCAGAGGCCCCUUCCAACCUUGCUGGUUCUGUGAUUCUACUCUAUGAUUCUAUACUCUCUAACACAAGCUUCCCUUAAUAGUUCACAAACAAUGAGUAGCACACUCUACUAACUGGAAAACAACAGCUAAAGUCAUAAAUGAGCACUGAUAAGCACAAAGUUACAGUAGCAUCAAACGCAGAAGUUGUACCUAUGUUAACAAUUUUUGAGGUGAUUUUAUCAGGUGUAAAUGUUUACACUAAGAUACAGAACAACUGAAGCAUGCUCUGUAUGCCUUAAUUUCUGGUAUUUCCAAGGGAAGCAUUUAGAAAGACAAGAAUCCAUCUAAUGAGAAGCAGACACAGCUCUAUCACUGACUGGCCAAAUUAGCCUCAGUUUUACUGUAUAUUAAUUGUGUCCUUAUUGCAAUGAUAUUUUGAAUUAAAAAACUUUAAAAGUCA